rnacentral:rRNA from 1 species
GCUUAUGGCCAUAUCACACUGAAUUCACUGGUUCUCAUCCAAUCACCAAAUUGAAGCAAUGUCGAGCCUAGUGAGUACUUAGAUAGGUGACUGCUUGGGAAACCUAGGUGUUGUAAGCA